GUUCCUGUUCUAGGCUGGCCAAGUGCAUGGUUCUGCUGCAUAAAGUUGAACGAACACAUUUGUUUAUUGUGCAGAAAAAUAUAAAUAACCUACUGGCAAGCAGUCAAUUGGCCACAGCCAGGGAUGUAGUGGAGGCUCCGCUCUAGAAUAUUUGGUAUGCACUGAGCCAGCACGGACGUAACAUUUCAGACACAAUUCUAAUUCCAUUAACCCCAUUUGAAACAGCUGUUUUACCGUUGCUGUUUAACCGUUUACAGCUGAUCGCCAACAGCUGGUUGUCAUUGGUAGCCUACUGAUACUAACAGAUACUACACUCACUAAUAAUGGUAUCUUCAAGAGCAUUUUGCGGUGCAAUUAACUGCGGGAACCGGCAAUGUAAAAGGCCCGGUUUGUCUUUUUUUAGAUUCCCACUCAACAAGGAGAGGUGCCAAAAGUGGGUCCAAAAUUGUCGUAGACAGGACCUGCAAACUCGGACUGCAAGCUACCUAAACUUCAAUUGUCGUCUGUGUGCUGAGCAUUUUGAGGACAGCCAGUUCACAAAUCAGCUGAGGAACAGAUUGAAUUGGAAUGCUAUUCCGACCAUAUUCAAAGUCCCCAACCCACCUCUUCACAUUAAGAGCACAAGGAGGACAUUAAAAAAAACAGACACAUCACAGAAAGUCCAUGGUCAGAUUCUGGCAGUAAGGGCGGAUCACACUUACAGCCGACUCAUCACUGCUGCUAACCAUGACACUCCUUCCACAUCUGCACUGUAUGGCUUCAUACCUCCUCCUGAUCCUGACGCUGCUACUGCUCCUACUGCUGCUGCUACUCCUCCUCCUACUGCCAAACACCUAAGGCUUUUAAAACAAGAACGUCUAAGGACAUUUAGACUUAAAAAGCAGGUGCAGCAACUAAAA